CGGAACAUGGAGGCGGAGCGUGACGAACAACGUUGGAACAGUUUGGGUGAGUAAACCAAGAAAAACUGCUGUUAUUGUUGUCUCUUUUUGCUUUAUCUAAGUUGUAUUGUUCUAGCUUCUGUGUGCUGGUCUGUCUUUGUGAUAUCAAGCUCUGAAUUCGGCUCUGUCAGCUCAUUAACUUACUGAAUUCAUGGUAGGAGCCAUUUUGUGAAAGCACCUAGAACGCAAACAAGGUCCAUAUUAGGGGAGAGUGGGGUAGGUUGAGCCACUCCCUGCUGUUUGUAAAUGGUAAGGACAUUGAUCAUAUGACCAAAUAUUUGGGAGAUGGGCAUCAAUUCAUGAAGUCUGUGAAGGUUAGAAGCACAUUGGUGAAGGUCCAUGUAUUAUCCGUCCUUUCAAUUAUUCCCUUCAAUCUAGUAAACAGAAAACAGAAAAACGAGUCAAUAUUUUGUUUAUUUGUUUUUCUGUAUGACCAAAAAAAAUUGUGUUUAUUUUCGUAUUUUCAGUUCAAAACAGAAUAUAUAAUCGAGAAGGAAACAAAAACAAAAUAAUAAAUCUGGUUGUAAUUUUUUCUACAUUCAUAUCUUCCUCCUAACAAAUAAACAAAAUAUUGACUUGAUUUUUUCGUUUACUAGAUUGAAUGAAAUAACCGAAUGGAUGGAUAAUACAUGGACCGGGUUAGACAUUUAUUUCCAAAAAAACAUUUUUCACUCUUGAAAGUGAAUUUAGUCUGUCAUAAGUUUGAUUAGAAUUGUGUUCAGACCCAAAAAGAUCAUUUUAAAUUAGUUUUAUACAUCAAUUGUGGUAUCUAUGAGCUCCAACAUGAGGUCAAAAACCCAACAUAAAAGUCCACCAUUUUAUCUUAGAGGACUAAUAAAGUCAUCAUAGUAGUUCAGGGGUAACUGAGAAAGUAAAGGAGUCUGAUGAGAGGAUCAGAGUUUCAUCAGAGAUCACUUUUUUAGGCAUGCUAUAUUAUCAAGAUUACAUAAAAUAUAUGCGAGCUAGAGACAAAACUAGGAUUGACUUGAUGUAGCGAUCCAAAAUAUGAAAAAUAGAUCAUCUUACCCCACUCUCCCCUACUGCUAAAACCAGUCACUGAAAGUUACAAACCUCCACCACACUUAAUUGUCUGCAGCCGUUUUCAGUGUAGUAAAAAAUGCAGAAACAAUCGAUUCAGUGCUUCUCAAAACCUCUUCAGCCUUCUCCAGCGAUGCUGUUAUGAAGACAUUUUUAUAAGGGCAUGUGAUGUGUUGGGCCUCUAUGUGUUCAGAAGUCUUUUCCUCCUGACCCCAGUCAUGUUGGCCAUGGCUCUUUUUUAAGGGUUUAAAUCCAGACAAUCCCCCUUGUAGUGUAGGAGAUGAAAUGUUGUGUCAUGUAAAUGGAUGUGUGUGUACCACUGCACCCUGUGAGAGGAUCUGAGAGGCCUUUAUCACCUCCCUGAGCUGUUGAGCAAAAAUAAUGCACCCUCUGUUAUCCUCAUCAGCGACGCAGCGAGCAAGUCUGAGGGGAUAUCCUGUUGGCGAAGUAAAGGCAUUCAUCCUGCCUGCGGUGGUUUUGGUGACACAAGAUUUACAAAAUGUUCCACCGGCCUCCACUUACCUCUUUUCAAUACUCUUUAUAUAGAGUAAUGGGCCUUAGAUCCUCUGUUAUUUCAGAAAACAAGGGAUUCUCACAACGGUGCCAACUUCUGCGGGGUUAACAAAGACACCAGAGCCGUCCUCGUUUACUUUAACCGUCAGUGUUUUAAGGACACGCUGACCUUUGUGUGCAAAAGAUGAGGAACUAUCAAGGGCUCCAUUUAAUCCUAUUUAUGCAAAAUAAAUGUUGAUGCUGAGGAUCACAUUUUGAUUUUAAAACCUCAUGUAGGAAAAAAAGUUGGAGCUUCUUGCGCUUAAAACAUCCAGUAAAUAAAGAGUCCGCAUAAUAGUCCUGACGUGUUUUCCUGCCCUCAUCGUCUCGUCCUAUAAUGUAAACUCUGGCUUUUGAAUAUUGUGAACAGCCUACAUGCUUCAUAGUGAUGGGUACAUUUAGAAAGCAGAUUACUCAAUAUCAUACUCAAUGACUUAAGCAAAGUAUUAAAACCACUGUGAAACAAUUCUGUGGGCUGGGUAAGGAGGAACCAUUAAGUAGCUGAAGUAAUUCAAAACAUCCAUUAACCAUAAUGCACUGUGUGGUUUCUGAUUUCUGGAAAAGUGAAGUACUUAAAAACAAUCGGAUCUGAAAAAAAUUCACCCUCAUCUCCAUUCCUUCCCCUGACUGUGGCAACAACCCUCACCGUGGGACUGAAGUACCACCGGUAAACACAGAGCAGAUUCUUCUGAGUUAUGGACCGGGAUCCUGCUAUCACAGCUCGUCCCUUUUGUCUGACCCAAACCACGCUUGUGGUGGGGCUCCUGUCAUACCAAUGAAAGCAAUGACAUUAACAUCAGAAACCAGAGGAAGCCCGGUUGCAGGCCACCCAGGUUUUCCUGGGGUCUGGAGGGCCAGGGAAAGUAUAUCUUGGACAAGUCGUCGGACUACCCUCGCAUUUCCUAUUAUUAAUUUCAUGCAGACGAGCGACCCCGCUCUGUAAAUCAUACCUGUGGUUUAAAAAGGGCCGAUGUAUCUCUUCUCCUCUCUUUUCUCUGUAAUGAUGAGGCUCUGCUCAUUGUCUCUCAUCCGUCUAGUUAUCCAGGAGAUUAAGCUUGUCACUUUAAAACCAUUUCAGACUCUGAUGUUGUCCCGGAAAGAACCAAAACUCAGGCUCAUGCUAUUAUAACUGAGUUUAAGUUUAAGUCAAGUUUAAAGUGCCUUUAUUAUUGUUUUGCAGCUCCAGAGAGGAAACUGUGGUGAGAACUGACAGCAGCACAUCGGCCCUUUAUCUGAAGCAGAGGAGGCCAGCGGAGUAUUCCCCUCUCAACUCAAUAUAACGCAGACGCUCGAGGUUUAACAGCAAGGUCAGUGAGGCUCUCAGAGGCUUUUUCCAGGUUCCAGUUCACUGUGCUUUUUUUUUUUAAAGUUUAGUCUCGACAGUGUGAAGCGUUUUAUUUCAGUUUGGGAGGAAAGAGGUAUUGCGAAAUCAAAAGCAAAGGAAAACAAACUUUAGGAAAAUUUCAAUUCUUUUGGUUCAUAGUGAUUCACCGAGUUUGGAGGAGUCUCAAGGCUGCGAGAGAUUUUUGUUUUUGCCUGUUUGCCAUUCAAGGCCACAGCCGACCACACAAUAUAUAAGCCCGUCAAUGUAAAAAUAAAGUUGAUUGAGGAGAUAUUUGAUGUACAAAUUAAAGUUGUGUGGUUAGCUAUUGAUACAUGAACAGAACUGUUCGCUGCAUGCCAGCAUAAACUUCAACUCCUCAGAACAUUUCCCCCUUUGUGGGAAAUCCUGUCUUAAAAUAGAGACUUUUAUUUUGACAUCUUUAGACGGCAGCUUGGCUCAGGAACGAGUAAUCCGCCUUCAGAGCAGAAUGAAUCUGAGCAUGAAGCCCUAAUCUGAACUGUCCGCUGGUUUGAGAUGUAAAACCACAGAAAGACCAUAAAGGACGUCUGUUGUUUCAUACAGUAAGCCUGUUCAUAAGUGUUUUCAUGACUCUAUGUGCUUCAGUGUCAUUUGCAUCUCUCCAAUGUGUCAGACAGCAGAGAGAGGAAACUGCCCUAAAACCUCCUUAUUCUGAGGAUGUAGCAGCUCCCACUGUGGGGCGAAAGAGGUUCGGAGAUCGUAGGUAUCAUAGGAGGGGCUGUGGGAUUUCACACGCUUUAAUUUCGACUGCAUGUAUCAAGGUGGGUCAGCAGACUAAUAAAGGCCACAGACUGAACAAAACAUGGACACAGUCUCAGUGACAGCAUCUGUUGGAGACCUGAUGAAGCACAAUGAUGGUGGUCACCAUUAGGGAUGGGCGAUAUAGGCUAAAAAAAUUAUGACCAUAAGUUUUUCCAUUUUGCCAAUAACGAUAAAAGUCCCAAUAAAAAAUGUUAUAAUUCCAAUCUAUGUUUUUGUCUCAUUUUCCUGAUAACACCAGUCGGAAUAGUCAAAUAAGAUACUUAACCUUGAAAACUCUUAUUGCACAGAGUGAGGAGAUCCACUGUCCGAUACCAGGCACACCUGAUUGCACUCUUCUAAGCCCCAAUCUUGAGGAGAAUCCCUCAUGUGGAGACGUCUUCUUUUUUACCGUCAGCAAUGUUUUUUAGUUAUUCUGAUAUGUGUGGGCUACGGCUGAAAGUCCGUUGAUCGCGCUUAUGUCAUCAACUUGCAUUUAUCGUAUUUAUCGUAGAGGAUUUUUCUGUGAUUUUUGAACGAUAAUUUAUCGCCCAUCCCUAGUCACCAUUUAAUAUCAGGCCCAACGUUCACUCUAUCUAUAAACGAGUAAAGAGGUGGGACUGAGGAAGGUUAAGGUCUCUGUACACCCACCUGUCCGUCAGCCCACCAUGACCCUAACUAUGAGAAUCUUUGUAUGAAUCUGACUCACCUGAGAUAAUCAUAACAAACCAAUUAAUAACUUAUUGAACCAUGCAGUUUUUAUGAAUGAAUAAUAGGCCAAUGCAUAGAAAAAUAAUCCUUAAUUCUUGGGUCAUUAUGGACAUUUCAACUUGGUUUAUUCUGGGAUAAUUUAUUUACAAGUUGUCCAGACAGAAUUUAUUUACUUAUUCAGAUUGUAGCCGACUAGUCUGAAUUUAAAAACUGUCAAAUGUCUGUGUCCUCUGAUCUUUGGUGGUGGUCCAAAGCCCUUUAGAGAUAUUUUUAUAUGUUUCAAAUCUACGGUCACUUUCGUUUACUUUGUUUGGAGCAGAUUUAGCUCAUUGUUUAUUGUGUUCAGGGUAAACUUUUUACUUAAAGGGUUAAAUGCUUAAACAAUAAAAAUUCCCUUUUUAAAAGCCGAUCAUAACUCAAUUCUUUGUUGACUUAGUGAGUGACUUCUUAUGUUUAGCUGCUCGGCAAUGUUCAACUUCAGCUCACAGACAGCUGGACUCAUAAAGAUGGACCUAAGUUGGAAUGCGCCAGUAAAGCCGAGUCCGUGUGUGUGUGUGUGUGUGUGUGUGUGUGUGUGUGUGAGAAAGUGUUUAGAUUCAGUGUCAUUCAGAGUGCAUUAGGUACAUUAUAAACACACACAGGCUAGCAGACAUUUACUGAAACCAUUCUGCAUACUUACACUUAGAGCGAAUGAAGCCUAAUGCUAACUCGGAGGCGUAUUGAUUUAAACACUAUAAAGCUUUUUGUCCGUGGAGCGGGCGUAGGGUUCGAGUCAUCAUCUCCUCAGGGAAUUUCUAAACAGAGUCAGAGAAAUCCAUCAUAUCAAAACCGUUAAAGGUUUUAUUUGGGCCUCUGGUAUCUCUCAUCUCUUUGGGGACAUGACAGUAAUUACAGCCAUCAAGGUGCUGGUCUGGAGCCGUCAGCCAAGAGCGUGGAGACUGCUUCUCCUCAGCUGCUCCUCCACGGGCUCCUGACAUCAGCGCUCCGUUUGUUUUAACAGAGCCUGAAGUAUGUAACGGCGUUAAUCGCAGCAGACAGGCCAGAUUUAUCCCGCCCUGGUCAAAUUCAUAAGUUAAGUGAACUGUUACUGGGAGGAUAAUCUUAUAAACAAGGUAAAGUAUUAGCAAGAGGAAGGAAUGUGAGGAUAAACCUGGAUUGUGAAAUGACUCAAGAAGAAGGGAGUUCUCUGUCCGAAAUCCUAUCAGUGAUACAUGGAGUCAUUUUAAAAGCUUUGAUUUCACACACAAAGUUCAGCUAACUCAUCCUGAGAAGUACUUAUCCUGUCAUUUAUUUUAUAAUCUGUUUAUAGUUUCAGGGUUUCCAAAAUGAUUUAAAAAAGAGGUUUUCUAAGGAUGUAAUGACGCAUCAUGAAUGAUAAAUCAACUUGAACUUUAAAAAGUGACCUUUAAACAUGGAUUUAUCGAUUACCUUUUCAGCUAACACCCAGUUUGAUUCAUGUCUGUGUUUUAUUGUCUUACAGGAGCAUCUGUGAGGAUCUACCGACUGUAGCUCCUCCAAUCGACCUCACCGUCCGAACAUUCAGGUGAACCGACAGUGAAGACAGACCUGACAGGAAACGGGAUUCCUGCUUCUCAUGAGGUAACCAAGUCAACACGACUUUUACACAUGUUAUUAUUAUCUUCCAAAGAGACUCCUCUAAAUCAAACACACCAAUCCAAUUCUCUUUAUUUGUAUAGCACAUUUUAAAAAACACCAGAGUGCUGCACAGUAAAUUUAAAAGAACAAACACUGAAGAAAACAUCAGGAAGAAAUAAAUAAAAGCAGGUCGAAAUCUUUUAAGAUAAAAUAAAAACACGAAAGCAUAAAAGUGAUAAAAGGACAAUAAAUGACUAAAAAGGACAGAGGUCACACAACUCUCAUGCUGAACUAAAAGCCAAGGAAUAAAAAUUAGUUUUAAGAUGUGAUUUAGAAGUAGAAAGAGUUGGGGGUGUUUUAAUCUCGAGUGGCAAUUUGUUCCACAAUUUGGGUCACCACGGGAUUUUUAACGAGUUUUAGGGACGACGAGUCGGAGCUGAAUUGCAGACCUCAGGGAAUGUAUAUAUCAUGAUAUAAAAAAUGAAUUUUAACAGUGCUUUUUGGUAGCAUUUCUUUUGCAGUACAAUAAUCUCCUGCAUCUGUGAGGUCUUUGUGUCUCUGUGACGUUUUUGUCGUAAGGUGUUGCUCUAGAGAAAGCCGACUGAAUGGUCGGUUCAGUGCAACGUGGACCUGGAGCAACUCCCCUUUUCAUUGGCUAUUCGUAUAGUCUACCAAAACAUGGCAGAAUAUCGACUAUCGAAAAGCAUAUUGACCAUGUUUCAUACUGAUAUUGAGGGAAAUUAAUUUCUGAUAUAUAUCAUUAUCGUUUUAUCGCCCAGCCCUACCUGUGUCAUUAAAUUCUGGCCUCCUGGUCUCAAAUGCUCUGCUCAGGGUAACACUGAGGGCAGGAGCGAGUGUGAGUAAAUCUGGUCCUCAGUUAAACAAACAGAGUCCAUGCAGAGCUUCAAUCCAGCUCCAUAAAUAUAAACAGGUAUACGUUAGUGAAUAAUCUGUGUAGUUAUUCUGAUAUAUCGUCGAGUUCAGGAGGUUUAGAUAUCUGAGCUGAUUUAUUCACUGAAAUUUAAUCAUCAGUUUGAUUUAGAUUCAGAGGUUGGACUCAGUUCAUCAUUAAUACUACACAACUUUCCAACAAUCAUCUCUUUUACUGCAGCGAGACAAAGAGAUCAUUUCUGUUGAUAAAAUAAUCUCAUUUUCCAAAAAGGAGACUUGGAAACGUUUAGUAGGAUCCCCUGUUGAGACUCUUUUAAAAAAUACUGGGAAAAAUAAUCACUAAGAAUCUUUUUACAGACUGUUUCUUCUCGGGGAAUUAAUUUGGAUGAUAAAUGUGACUUUAUUGGUUACAGUAGGACAAAAAAAAACCUCUUGGCAAUCUGCGCCGUGUUCCCCGAGUGGUGAGCUGAGCUCCAGUUUCACGCUUGUUUGACAAUGUUGUCACCCUUUUUCCUCUUAAAUAUGAAACACUAAACACAUGUGUGAAAAUUAUUGCAGUUUAACAGCUAUGAAAUGAGAAGAAAAAUUAUUUUCCUGCGUUUAAAAGAGUUGAUUGAUUUGCAGGCCUCGUUACUUAGGUGUUACUCUAUUAAGUUUCACAGUAUUAUGCCGAGUGAUGUCAGCUUUUCCCUCAUGUGGACGCGCUCCAGCAGCACGGAUUCAUUCAAAGGGAAAGAGCGCCGCUAAAUCAGGCAUAAACUCUUUAUAAUGCUCCAAUAAAACACAGCAGAGCCGGUCCAAAAAAAAAAGGCAUCUCUGGAGAGAAAUCUGAACAACAUCAACAAUCUGCUGAGAAAUGUGAAAUGAAGAAAGUGACCUCUGGUCUCGCUGCUCUCGCCCCGCUCCCAUUCAUCAGCUCCUCGUCUCCACUAAAAGCCGGCUUUACAGCUGGUUGGCGCUCAGGCUCUUAAAAUAUGUUCUACUGGAUGGACACAAGUGUCGAUGAGGUGGUAUUUCUCAGGCCCCUUGUCUUUCCGUUAUCGCAGGAUGUGGAGUCGGGGAGAGCGAGGGAGCAGAGUGGGGAGGACUGGAGCCCUAAAGCAUGAUUUACUUGACCCUGCAGUGCUGGAACUCACGGCCAGAAACCUCAUUAAUUCCCAGGGUCAUUCCUUUUGGACAUAAAUUGGUUAAAAAAUCAGAACGCGUGGAUGACUUCCAGACAUACACAAAGAAUUAUGAAAUCGUGGCCUGAAUCCGCCCUCCCCCGACUCUCCCUGUUCCCACUCCAGAACCGAAGCAGACCCAAACGUCCAGGUUUAAAUCACACAGGCCCGCUCGGAGGAGUCCCCUAAUCCUGAACGAAGGGAGGAGGCGGAUGGAACGUUUUGUGCCUAUUAGGCAGCAAAUAUGGCAUUAUUUUAUGCGAUUAUCACUAUGAAUGAUUUUCCCCUCCCAUCCAUCCUGGAGCCUUGCUUGGCCUGUCUUUUGUUUGGGAAAAAGGAGCUGGAGGAACAGCAGGGCUGCGAGGGAAGCUCAAUAAAUUACACUAAUGCACACAUUUAAAGGGUCUCAUAUUCCCCCUGGCCUGUUAUCAAGACUACUCCAGUGAGAAUGUAAACUACCUCUCUCUGCCCCCCUCC
rnacentral:lncRNA from 1 species